rnacentral:rRNA from 1 species
UACGUAGGAAGCAAACGUUGUCCGGAUUUACUGGGCGUAAAGCGCGCGUAGGCAGAACGUUAAGUCCGGUCUGAAAGCCCCCGGCUCAACCAAAGAGGGUGGCUGGAAACUGACGUUCUUGAGGGCGAGAGAGGAGGGUGGAAUUCCUGGUGUAGCGGUGAAAUGCGUAGAGAUCAGGAGGAACACCCGUGGCGAAGGCAGCCCUCUGGCUCGACCCUGACGCUGAGGCGCGAAAGCGUGGAGAGCGAACGGG